rnacentral:rRNA from 1 species
UACGGGGGGUCCAAGCGUUGUUCGGAAUCACUGGGCGUAAAGCGCACGUAGGUGGCUUUUCAAGUCUGUUGUGAAAGCCCAGGGCCUAACCCUGGAAGUGCAGCAGAUACUGUUAAGCUUGAGUAUGGGAGAGGAUAGUGGAAUUUCUGGUGUAGUGGUGAAAUACGUAGAUAUCAGAAGGAACACCAGUGGCGAAGGCGGCUAUCUGGCCCAAUACUGACACUGAGGUGCGAAAGCGUGGGGAGCAAACAGG